ACUCAAUUUCAUCUCAAAACCACUUUACUUGUUGUGUAUCAACAAGUUAACAUGAGUUGUGGGAAGGGUUCAGUUUUCUUGGCCUUCUUCUUCUUCCUUCUCCUCGUCUCCUCCGAGCUGGCUGCAGCUCGGGAGCUAAUGUUGGCCGAAAAAAAUGGAGCGGCCAAACAUAAACCCUACCCCAUUUUCUACAGCUUAAUCCCCAUCAAACCCAAUUGCAGUCAUCCCAACCAUUAUCAUAAAUGCAGUUCAAAAUCGGUCCCAAAACACCAAGAUCACUGCGAUACUAAGUCAAAAAAGUGCAAUGAUACACAAAACUGAAGUGGAAACUAAGAUCAAACACCAUGGAAACUAAGUAAAUUAACUCACAACUAUGUGGGUUUUAAUUAUGUUUUAAUCUCUUUAAACCCUUCAUCUCUUUCUUUGCUUUCCAUAAUUAUCCAUCUUAUGUGUUGUUGGACCUUUGUUGCGUGUAUUGAAUCCUAUUUAUAAUGUUAAAAGUUCGA